ACCAAAUUGGGCGAUUAAAUUUAUAGGGUCCUUUUAGUAAAUCUAAUUAUUCCCAGUCAAAUCUAAACUACUAAAUUAUCCUUUCAAAGAUAUAGGAAAAUUUAAUAGAUUGUAUCUGCCUCACUCACCUUGUGAAAUACAUAGGAAAAUCCAAUAAUUAUCAAACCAAAUUGAGCGAUUCAAUUUAAAGGGUCAUUCCAAUAAAUCCUAUUAUUCGCAGUCAAAUUUAAGCUACUAAAGUGUCUUCUGAAAGAUAUAUGAAAAUCCAAUAAAUUGUGUCUGCAUCAUCCACUUGAUAAAAUGCAUAGGAAAAUUCAAUAACUUUUAUUACUUUCGUGUGGCAUACCUUUCAUUUCUGCUUUGUGAUCUGUGACGUUGGAUUAUGAAUUUUUGUUCAGAUCGUUGUCAUCUGAAAAUUAUAGCUUAAUUUUCCCAAUAAAUUGAUUAUUUAGUUAAUAACGGCCCAUCGAUACUAAGUUAAAUAAAAUAUGAAGGAAAUAUACAGGUGAGUUCCUAUUCCGUAUAUUUUCGAAUGAUUUGUGCGAGUUUUGUAAAUGGUGACCAAUGUUUUUAAUACAAGAUUGGAACGGAACCAUAUUCCCCGGAACCAUACAACAGGACAUAACCGGAAUAGCCAAGGAACUUAGUUGGAAACCUCGACAAAGCAGUGUCGACAAAAAUCCAAAUGGGGUAAAUAAAAGAGCGGAUGAGGUCAAAGUCUAGCGAUACGCAAGUUGAAAGUGUCUAGAACUCCCUCUAGGGAGAGGACAAAGUGGUAACAACUUCACACCGAAUUGGGACAGACCGAUACCAAUCGGUAUCUGGUCUCGGUCAUCGAAGAGAGUGCUACAUGGUCAAGCUAUUUUCGCCUGUGGCCUGUACGAUGAGGCACUUCAUUAUUUCGUUCUCGUCGAGUUGAAUUUGCGUUCAGAGAAGUGUAAUUGCAGUCGCAGCAUCCGGAUUCUGACCGUCGUAUCAUACACCAUAAGAGGAUGGAAAAAUCACGAUCCAAGUUCAAACAAACCAAACAUGCCGCAGAUCCUCCAAUCCGACUGACCAAUUAUAGUCUAGUGGUCGAAGCCGAUUGCCGGAACGGUUUAAGAUGAAACGGAACUGGAGAUUGAAUUCCGAAUUAUCGACGAACUGGGCUAGCUCAAGAUUUUUGUAUUCGGAUGUAGAAGUAUGAUGAAGCUUGAGUAGGAGUCCCGUCCUACGUUUCAAUGUUUCGAUCGAUUUCCUAAGAGUGCCUUGUAGUGCCAAAAGUAAAGUUGUAUUACUUCUUAAAAUACAGCAAAUUUUAAUUAAAAUUUUGACUUACCUUAUUGGUUCUAUCAUAUGCCAGCAAGCUACUGUAUAUAAA